rnacentral:rRNA from 1 species
UUGUGCUGACGCGGAGGGACAUUACAGAGUUUUCACAACUCCCAACCCUUGCGAACCGUACCCAAUCUCGUUCUCGUUGCUUCUGGCGGGGGGGACGGGGGGGCGCCCGAGACGGCCCCCUCCG